GAAGCUGGAAUGAAUGGUUGGACGAGGGGACUACUGUCUCAGUUUAAUUUUAUAUAAAAUUUUACUUUUAAGUAAAAAGGCUUAAAUUUUUUUAAAAGACGAGAAGACCCUAUAGAAUUUUACAUUAUUAUGACUAAUUUACUUUUAGUAUUUUUGUUAUUUUAUUUUUUUUAAUGUUUUGUUGGGGUGACAGUAAAAUUAAUUAAACUUUUACUUUUUUAUUACAUAAAUAUAUGAAUAAUUGAUCCAUAAUAAUGAUUAUAAGACAAAAUUACCUUAGGGAUAACAGCGUAAUUUUUUUUGAGAGUUCUUAUCGAAAAAAGAGAUUGCGACCUCGAUGUUGGAUUAAAAUUAACUUUAGGUGCAGGAGCUUAAAGGUUAGGUCUGUUCGACCUUUAAAAUUUUACA
rnacentral:rRNA from 1 species